rnacentral:rRNA from 1 species
UACGGAGGGGGCUAGCGUUGUUCGGAAUUACUGGGCGUAAAGCGCACGUAGGCGGCUUUGUAAGUUAGAGGUGAAAGCCCGGAGCUCAACUCCGGAACUGCCUUUAAGACUGCAUCGCUAGAAUUGUGGAGAGGUGAGUGGAAUUCCGAGUGUAGAGGUGAAAUUCGUAGAUAUUCGCAAGAACACCAGUGGCGAAGGCGGCUCACUGGCCCGGUACUGACGCUGAGGUGCGAAAGCGUGGGGAGCAAACGG